rnacentral:rRNA from 1 species
AUACGAAGGGUGCAAGCGUUACUCGGAAUUACUGGGCGUAAAGCGUGCGUAGGUGGUUGUUUAAGUCUGUCGUGAAAGCCCUGGGCUCAACCUGGGAAUGGCGAUGGAAACUGGGCGACUAGAGUGUGGCAGAGGGUAGUGGAAUUCCUGGUGUAGCAGUGAAAUGCGUAGAGAUCAGGAGGAACAUCCGUGGCGAAGGCGACUGCCUGGGCCAACACUGACACUGAGGCACGAAAGCGUGGGGAGCAAACAGGAUUAGAUACCCUGGUAGUCCACGCCCUAAACGAUGCGAACUGGAUGUUGGGUGCAAUUUGGCACGCAGUAUCGAAGCUAACGCGUUAAGUUCGCCGCCUGGGGAGUACGGUCGCAAGGUUAAAACUCAAAUGAAUUGACGGGG